GCGAGGGGCGAGUCACUGUUGACAGACAGCCAGGCUGCCUUCUUUAGAGUAGACAACAGUAGUCAAGCCACUGAAAGCAACAUAACUUCGCUAACGUUAGAUGGCUUUGAUGAUGGUUAUAUUGAAGGCCAGUGAUUGUGGGGGAACUGCCAGAGCUGAACCAGUGACUCUGUGGUUAUGGAGCGUGGCCACCACCUGUGCCAUGACUGCUUGGCAGUUGAAGCCUGCAGCAGUAGGCCUACACUAAGAAAGAAGGGCCACUUGAUCAUGUACAUCUGACCCCAGGACCAACCUGCUAUGACCAAUGAGGACUUAAACAGUAAUUUUAUACCACUGUAGAAAUACUGACUCAUUUUCAUAUCAUCUUUAUCAUAUGUAUAAGGACAUGAUAUGUUUUACAUCAGUCGACA